GGGUUGUGAGGUUAAGCGACUAAGCGUACACGGUGGAUGCCCUGGCAGUCAGAGGCGAUGAAGGACGUGCUAAUCUGCGAAAAGCGUCGGUAAGGUGAUAUGAACCGUUANANCCGGCGAUGUCCGAAUGGGGAAACCCAGUGCAAUUCGUUGCACUAUCGUUAACUGAAUACAUAGGUUAACGAGGCGAACCGGGGGAACUGAAACAUCUAAGUACCCCGAGGAAAAGAAAUCAACCGAGAUUCCCCCAGUAGCGGCGAGCGAACGGGGAGCAGCCCAGAGUCUGAAUCAGCUUGUGUGUUAGUGGAACGGUCUGGAAAGUCCGACGGUACAGGGUGAUAGUCCCGUACACCAAAAUGCACAGGUUGUGAACUCGAAGAGUAGGGCGGGACACGUGGUAUCCUGUCUGAAUAUGGGGGGACCAUCCUCCAAGGCUAAAUACUCCUGACUGACCGAUAGUGAACCAGUACCGUGAGGGAAAGGCGAAAAGAACCCCGGCGAGGGGAGUGAAAAAGAACCUGAAACCG
rnacentral:rRNA from 1 species